UACGGAGGAUCCAAGCGUUAUCCGGAUUCAUUGGGUUUAAAGGGUGCGUAGGCGGAAUGAUAAGUCAGCGGUGAAAUCCCUCGGCUUAACCGAGGAACUGCCGUUGAUACUGUCAAUCUUGAGUACAUUUGAUGUGGGCGGAAUGUGUCAUGUAGCGGUGAAAUGACUUAGAUAUGAACACAGAACACCGAUUGCGAAGGC
rnacentral:rRNA from 1 species